GCAUGCCUUUCUCUCUCUAGCAUGCUUUAAGUUCAGCCUUACUGAACUUCUCUCAGGUCAUAGUUUAUGCCAUGUUCUCUUUGGCUCAUGGGACAGUGUGCUUUUCCUGCUCUAAAGGUACUGAUUUUAAGUCAGAUAUUACUAUCUUCAAUGAGUCUUUCACUUCCAGAUUUUUGCUCCUGCUCUGUUCUUCAUCAGCAAGGGAAGUACCCUCUACUUCCCAUAUAAUUCAUUUGUGACUUGCAAUUGCACAUAUUGAUUUACUUUUCUGUCUUGUCCAGAUAGAAUUCGCUCUCUGGAGAAAAGAACUGUGCUGCUCCUUGUUGAUGGUCCCAUCAUCUAGCAGAGUACCUGGCACUUAAAAAUUUGUGAAAUGAGCAACAAUUGACACAACUAGUAGGGUAGCAUAUGAUAGGGAGUAAUAAGAAAAUUGUUGUUAGCUGGGCUCAGUUUUGCGUAUCUGUAAUCCCAGCCACUUGGGAGUCUGAUGAAGGAGGAUUGUGAGUUCAAAGACAGCCUCAGCAAAAGUGAGGCACUGAGCAACUCAGUGAGACCCUGUCUCUAAAUAAAAUACAAAAUAGGGCUGGAGAUGUGACUCAGUGAUUGAAUGCCCUUGAGUUCAAUACCCUGUACCCAGAAUAAAAAAAAUAGUUGUUCAUUAACUACUGCCUAGUAACCAUGAUUGUAAAGAUUUAGGAUUAACUAAAAUGAAACACUUGAAUAAAUUCCAGUCGCUAUCAAGCCUCUUAAUUUAUGUGAAUGUUAUCAGCCCUGUUUCUUUCUAUAUUACAAACUUUUAAAAAAAGUUUUAUUGAAGUACAAUUUACAAUAAAAUGUAUAAAUUUUAAGUUUAAGCUUGAGUGAUUUUUCCUUAUGUAUACUCUUGGGUAGCCACUACUCAGAUCAAUAUAUAGAAUAUUUUAAGUACCUCAGAAGGCUCCCUUUCUCCCUUUCCCAGUUAUCCUCCCCCAAAUAAGCACUAUUUUGAUUUCUCUCUUUCCCUUCCCCUCCCUCUCCCUCUCCCUCUCUCUCUCUCUUUAACCAGGGAUUGAGCUAAGGGCAGUUAACCACUCAGCCAUUUUCCUAGAUUUUUUUUUAUAUUUUAUUUAGAGACAGUCUCACAGAGUUGCUUAGGGCCUUGCUAAGUUGCUGAGGCUGGCUUUGAACUCACAAUCCUCUUGCCUUAGCCUCCCAUGCCACUGGGAUUACAGUUGUGUGUCACCGUGCCUGGCACUAUUUUGACUUCUAACAUCAUGAAUGUGUUUACCUGAUUUCAGACUCUACAUAAUGGAACUAUAAUGUCUGUACUUUUUUUGUCCAUGUCCUUUACUCAACUUCAUAUUGGUAAGACUGAUUCUUUUUCAUUGUUGUCUGUAUUCUACUCUUAAAGGGCAUUUAGAUUUUUUCAUGUUUGGGCUUAUGAAUGAAAGUGUUAUGAAUAUUCUUCUGUAUGUCUUUUAGUAGACAUAAGCACUAAUAUCUGUUGGGUUUAUAGUCAGGAGAGGAUUUGGUUGAUCAUAAGAUAUGCACAUAAUAGCUUAAGGAUAUAUUACCAAACAUUUACCAAAGUCAUUAUCCCAAUUUAUAUUCCCAUCAGUAAAUGUAUAAAAGUUCCAAAUGUUCUGCAUCCUUGAUGUUAUUUCAUGUUGUCUUUUGCCAACUUAUCAAAAUGUACACAAUUAUCUGAGAUGAAAAUGAAAUUACAAAUUGCUGAUAUAAUGAAAACAUCUAACAUUAGCUUUCUGAGGUUGGUGAGUUUUCAGGGAUAAAAUAUUAAGAAUGAAUAACAUUUAUUGGAUAUGUGCUGCCUGCCAGGCAUAUUCUAGGCACUUCAGAUAGGCUAUCUUAUUUAAUCACCACUACAGCUCUGUGAAGUAAGUACUGUUGUCCUCAUUUUAUGGAUGAGGAAUUUGAGGCAUAGAGAGACAACAUUAACUUCAAAGACUUGAAGAGCUGGCUAGAAGUACUUGUAUAGAUCAGUUUAUGCAAUUUCUCUUUGACCUGACAAAAAAGAGCUACCUCAGAGAGCAGGCUAUGAAAGGAAGACCACUCAGUAGAGAGAGAUUCUGGAUUCAAAUCCAGAUCUCACCUAUCCUGAUAAUAAAUAAUAAUUGAUAAUAAAUCAAUAGUAUACAAAUGAGAUAAUAUCAACAGUUAUCAAAAUAAAUACAUUUUUAAAUGAUUCAUUUCAUUCAGAAUUUAGGAAUUAUGAGUGAUCUGUGGAAUAGUUUCAUUUGGUUGUAAAACCAUAUUAUUUGAUACUGAGAAUUGAAGCCAGGGGCACUUUACUAUUGAGCAACAUCCUCAAAUCUUUUUUUGUAGCAGGGGGACACUAGGGAUCAAACCCACUGAGCCUCAUCCUCAGCUCUUUUUAUAUUUUGCUUAGAGACAGGGCUUAGGUAAAUUGCUUAGGGCCUCACUAUGUUGCUGAAGCUAGCUUUGAACUCAGAAACCUCCUGCCUCAGCCUCCUGAGCUGCUGAGAUUAUAUGUGUGGGCCACUGUGCCUGGCUCCCCAACCCUUUUUAUUUCUAUUUUUUAUUUUGAGAAAGGGUCUUGCUAAGCUGCUGAAGCUGCCUCAACCUCCCUAGUUGGUAGGAUUAGGGGCCUGUGCCACCAUGCC
rnacentral:lncRNA from 1 species